UCUGGGAAACUGCCUGAUGGAGGGGGAUAACUACUGGAAACGGUAGCUAAUACCGCAUAAUGUCGCAAGACCAAAGUGGGGGACCUUCGGGCCUCAUGCCAUCAGAUGUGCCCAGAUGGGAUUAGCUAGUAGGUGGGGUAAUGGCUCACCUAGGCGACGAUCCCUAGCUGGUCUGAGAGGAUGACCAGCCACACUGGAACUGAGACACAGUCCAG
rnacentral:rRNA from 1 species